UUAGGCUUGAAUUAUUAGGAAGUAACUAGAAUAUGUAGUGUAGCGGUGAAAUGCUUAGAGAUUACAUGGAAUACCAAUUGCGAAGGCAGGUUACUACUAAUGGAUUGACGCUGAUGGACGAAAGCGUGGGUAGCGAACAGGAUUAGAUACCCUGGUAGUCCACGCCGUAAACGAUGGAUACUAGCUGUUGGGAGCAAUCUCAGUGGCUAAGCGAAAGUGAUAAGUAUCCCACCUGGGGAGUACGUUCGCAAGAAUGAAACUCAAAGGAAUUGACGGGGGCCCGCACAAGCGGUGGAGCAUGUGGUUUAAUUCGAUGAUACGCGAGGAACCUUACCAAGGCUUAAAUGUAGAUUGACCGUUUUGGAAACAGAACUUUCGCAAGACAAUUUACAAGGUGCUGCAUGGUUGUCGUCAGCUCGUGCCGUGAGGUGUCAGGUUAAGUUCCUAUAACGAGCGCAACCCCUGUUGUUAGUUGCCAGCGAGUCAAGUCGGGAACUCUAACAAGACUGCCAGUGCAAACUGUGAGGAAGGUGGGGAUGACGUCAAAUCAUCACGGCCCUUACGCCUUGGGCUACACACGUGCUACAAUGGACGGUACAGAGAGCAG
rnacentral:rRNA from 1 species